UCGGGAUAGCUCAGCUGGUAUGAGCAGAGGACUGA
rnacentral:tRNA from 1 species